rnacentral:ncRNA from 1 species
UAAAUAAAUUUUUUAUGGUUUAAAAAUUUUAUUUUAAGUUUAUUUUACAUGUAAAUUUUAGUGUUAUAUAUUAAUUAUUUGAAUAAUAUUUAAUUUUUUGCAGUAAUUAAUUUUAAAAAUUUAAGAAAUUAAGAUUUAGUAAUAUUUAAAUUAAUAACUAAUUUUGUGCCAGCAGUUGCGGUUAUACAAGAAAUUAAUUUAAAAUUUUUUAGUUAUUAAUAAUUAAUAAUUAAAUUAAUAAUUUAAAUUGAAAAUUAUUAGGUGAAAUUUUAAUUUUAUAAAAAAUUAUUUUAUGAUUAUGAAUUAGUAAAUUUUAUAAAAAACUAGGAUUAGAUACCCUAUUAUUAAUAAGUUAAAUUAAUAAUGCUAAAAUAGUAGAUAAUUUAUUGAAACUUAAAUAAUUUGGCGGUAUUUUAGUUUAUUUAGAGGAAUCUGUUUAAUAAUUGAUAAUCCACGAAUAAAUUUACUUAAUUUGAUAAUUUUGUAUAUCGUUGUUAAAAAAAUAUUUUUUAAUAAUAAUAAUAUUUAAAAAUUUAAAUUAUAAAUUAAAUCAGAUCAAGAUGCAGAUUAUAAUUAAGAAUAUAAUGGAUUACAAUAAAUUUAUUUAAAUUGGAGUUUAAUAUGAAAAGAUUAAAUGAAAUUGGAUUUAAAUGUAAUUUUAUAAAAUUUUAUAAAAUGAUUAAUAAUUAGAAUAUGUACAUAUUGCCCGUCGCUUUCAUUUAUAAAUUGGAAUAAGUCGUAACAAAGUAGGGGUACUGGAAAGUGUUUCUAGAAAGAU